rnacentral:rRNA from 1 species
UACGGAAGGCAGCAGUGGGGAAUAUUGCACAAUGGGCGCAAGCCUGAUGCAGCCAUGCCGCGUGUAUGAAGAAGGCCUUCGGGUUGUAAAGUACUUUCAGUCGUGAGGAAGGUGUUAAGGUUAAUAACCUUAGCAAUUGACGUUAGCGACAGAAGAAGCACCGGCUAACUCCGUGCCAGCAGCCGCGGUAAUACGGAGGGUGCGAGCGUUAAUCGGAAUUACUGGGCGUAAAGGGCACGCAGGCGGUUAAUUAAGUUGGAUGUGAAAUCCCCGGGCUUAACCUGGGAAUGGCAUUCAAGACUGGUUAGCUAGAGUCUUGUAGAGGGGGUAGAAUUCCAUGUGUAGCGGUGAAAUGCGUAGAGAUGUGGAGGAAUCCGGUGGCGAAGGCGGCCCCUGGACAAAGACUGACGCUCGAUGUGCGAAAGCGUGGGGA